rnacentral:rRNA from 1 species
GCAGCCGCGGUAAUACGUAGGGAGCGAGCGUUGUCCGGAAUUACUGGGUGUAAAGGGUGCGUAGGCGGGCCUGCAAGUCAGAUGUGAAAUACCGGGGCUUAACUCCGGGGCUGCAUUUGAAACUGUGGGUCUUGAGUGAAGUAGAGGCAAGCGGAAUUCCCAGUGUAGCGGUGAAAUGCGUAGAUAUUGGGAGGAACACCAGUGGCGAAGGCGGCUUGCUGGGCUUUAACUGACGCUGAGGCACGAAAGUAUGGGGAGCAAACAGGAUUAGAUACCCC